rnacentral:misc_RNA from 1 species
AAGUCGUAACAAGGUAACCGUAGGUGAACCUGCGGUUGGAUCAUUAACGAAACAACAAAUAAAAAGUCCUUUUCUCCUUUUUCCUUCUUUUAGUUUCUUUUUAAGAGCUGUUAGAAGAAAAAGAAAAAAAGGCAAACACCCCUUCAAAACGCAACAUUGUAAAAUGUUGUUGUUUUUUUCUAAAAACAAAUCUGUUUUUUCUUUUAUGUCUUUCCCUCGUUUCCAUUUUCUUUUUUUGGUCUUAUUCUCUCGCAAGAACAAAGGUCUCAAAAAGAAAAGUCAAGGGGCGGGGGGAAAAUAAACUACAUAAAAGAUCAUUAUAAACAUCUAUUGUUUUAUUAUUUUUUUUCUUUUCUCUUUGUAUAAAAGAGUUUAACAUAAGAAAAUAAAAACAACUUUUGACAACGGAUCUCUUGGCUCUC